CAGCUGCUGUGUACGUAGCUGACAUGCAGAGCUUAAACCCUUAAACAAGAGCAAAAUGAACCAUGAAAUCUCUAGUAUCUAUAGCAUUUAUGCUUUUACAGGUUUGGAAAGGAUAGUGGAAAAUUCACAGAUAAAUAUGUCAAAAAAAUAUAAAGUUACAGAAAUCCAACUUUAUUCCCUUUCAUCAUAGAAUCCAGAAUAUUACUUAACACAUUGUAAUAGAUGCUAUUAUCCUGAUUGCAAGACAAAAAUGCCAUCUCUCAGAUAACCAGUACUACUUGGACAUCUUUUGUUCCAGAUCAUGACCAGAGAUGGCGCUGAGUGUACAGGGAACGAAACGCCAAUCCCAAACGGAAAUUGGAAACCGGAAUGAAGUCCGAAGUGAGAGGAGCUCCAAGAGAAUCUGUAAUAGAUAUGUAUGUCGGCAAUAAAGGAACACCCUCAGCCCAAUCCAAGGCUGGAUAUUUGCUGAUUUCCAUGCUCUAAACAGCCACACUGGUCCUGCCCUUGGAGUGCAAGGGAGCAUUGGCGGUCAGCUGAAGCAAGGACAGUGAACUCAAGCCAGGUCUGGUGGUCACCAUCAGCAUUCAGCUAACUAUCUUAGAUGAACUUCAUCACUACACUGUCUGCUUUUGCAAGUCUUCCUCUAAAAAGAGCUAAACAGAGAAAAUGGAGAGAAGAAGGUCCGAGAGGAUUCCAUUUUCCUCCAUCACGAUGAGCAACUGAGCAUGCAGCCCAAAUCUGUUUUAGAAAAUGGACAUGGAAUAGGAAAAGAAGAGCUAUGGUUUAAAUUGAGUUUGGGAUUGCUGCUUUAUAUUAGAUUGGAUUUUAGUAACUCAAAGUGGCCGGAAAGUUGCAGAAUCCUCUCAAGAUAUAAUGAAGGUACAAGAAAGAAGGAUUGAGUUUAGCAGAGCUGCAAGUGAUGGUAGGAAACAUAAAACCACCUACUGACAUCCACCUACUCUUCUUUAAAGAAAGCUCAAAUGCAAAUCAUAAACAUCUUUAUAUUUCACGCCAUUCAUUUUGAUUCUUUAGUAUGGGGCUUUAUGCCCUGUCCUGAUCACCCAAAAGCUCACUUUCCAGUACCUGCUGAUGAAGUCUGCUGCAAGCAUCAGACUCCGCCUGUGGGAAAGGCUGGACAAGCUGGGGAGAAGAUGCUUCCAGGACAGCCCUUAGCCAAUGACUGACAACAACCAGAGGAUAACUUCCCAGCUUCCCUUUCCUUGUUUCUCAAGGAAGAGACAAAUCUGAGGUAUAUUUGACAUCAUUUCCCAGAAGUUUCCAAUAAGAAAAUGAGAAAUUACAAAAAAAUAAAACUACCAUGAAAAUA